rnacentral:RNase_P_RNA from 1 species
GAGGUUCGACAAGUAAUCGCUGGUGCGAAAGCAUCAGAGGAAAGUCCGAGCUCCAUAGGACAAAGUGCCGGGUAACACCCGGGAGUCGUAAGGCUACAGAGAGUGCAACAGAAAGUAUACCGCUGCAUUGCAGUAAGGGUGAAAAGGCGAGGUAAGAGCUCACCGGCAUACUUGGCAACAGGGUGCGCAUUGAAAACCUCACUUGGAGCAAGGUCAAAAAGCAGGUAAGUGGUCCGCUUCAUACCUGCGGGUAGACUGCUGGAACCUGAUGGUGACAUCAGGUCUAGAUAGAUGAUUACAUAAACAGAACUCGGCUUACGGCGAACCUCUGUU